CGGACCGUAUACGCAGCUUGCUGCGUGUAUGGUUAGUGGCAGACGGGUGAGUAAUGCAUAGGAAUCUACCUAGUAGUAUGGGAUAGCCACUAGAAAUGGUGGGUAAUACUGUAUAAUCCCUGCGGGGGAAAGAUUUAUCGCUAUUAGAUGAGCCUAUGUCAGAUUAGCUAGUUGGUGGGGUAAUGGCCUACCAAGGCGGUGAUCUGUAGCUGGUCUGAGAGGAUGAUCAGCCACACUGGAACUGAGACACGGUCCAGACUCCUACGGGAGGCAGCAGUGGGGAAUAUUGGACAAUGGGCGCAAGCCUGAUCCAGCUAUGCCGCGUGAGUGAGGAAGGCCUUAGGGUUGUAAAACUCUUUCAGUAGGGAAGAUAAUGACGGUACCUACAGAAGAAGUCCCGGC
rnacentral:rRNA from 1 species